UCCUUCGUGGCGGUAAUUGGCAUCCCGCACGGUUCUGGCCCGUGAGAUUCCUGGUUCGAGUCCAGGCGAAGGAA
rnacentral:tRNA from 2 species